CUUGUUUUUGGUACUGGGGAUUGAACCCAGGGAAACUCUACCACUGAGGCACAUAUCCAGCCCUUUUUAUUUUGAGAUGGGUCUUGCUAAGUUGAUCAGGCUGGCCUUGAACCUUGAACUUACAAUUUUUUCUCAGGCUCCCAAUUUGCUGGAAUUACAGGUGUGUGCCCCUGUGCCUGGCUUGCCCCUCUUCCCCCCCCCCGCCCCCGCUUUUUCUUUAUUUUAUUCUUCUUUAACCUCCUGUUGGCCCAGUAUUCUAGUUUUUUGCAAGAAAAAAUCUUUUGGAAUCAUGCCCCUAGUUAUUGGAAAUUAUUGGACUUUGCCUCACCCCAGAAAACCAAUAAAAGUUUCCACAUCUUGCCUUGGUGAAAC
rnacentral:lncRNA from 1 species